rnacentral:rRNA from 1 species
GCAUGUGCGCCAUGCCACCCUAAACACGCCUGAUCCUGAAAGGUUAGAAGGGUCAAGCCUGGUUUGUACUUGGAUUAGAGACUGCUGGGGAGUACCAGGUGCUGUGUGGU